GUGUGACGUAGAAAAUCGAUACCAGGGAAAUCCACUUAAAGGAACAUGUUAUUAUACUCUUCUUAUUGACUAUCAGUUCACCUUCAGCCUUUCCCAAGAGGAUAAUCGCUAUUAUACUGCAAUCAAUUUUGUAGCAACACCUGAAGAGUGCUCACAUAAUUCCUACCAAAAGAUGUUGUGGAUGGGAUAAGUCAAAGCAGUACUAUCCUCUGUCUGCUCAAUCCAGCUGAGUACAGGAACUUCUCCAAACACACACCUGAGCAGAGACUUUUCCUUGGAUUGCAGCUUACAGUUUCUUGC